AGUGAACGCUGGCGGUAGGCCUAACACAUGCAAGUCGAACGGCAGCACAGUAAGAGCUUGCUCUUACGGGUGGCGAGUGGCGGACGGGUGAGGAAUAUAUCGGAAUCUACUUUUUCGUGGGGGAUAACGUAGGGAAACUUACGCUAAUACCGCACACGACCUACGGGUGAAAGCAGGGGAUCUUCGGACCUUGCGCGAUUGAAUGAGCCGAUGUCGGAUUAGCUAGUUGGCGGGGUAAAGGCCCACCAAGGCGACGAUCCGUAGCUGGACUGAGAGGAUGAUCAGCCACACUGGAACUGAGACACGGUCCAGACGCCUACGGGAGGCAGCAGUGGGGAAUAUUAGACAAUGGGCGCAAGCCUGAUCCAGCCAUACCGCGUGGGUGAAGAAGGCCUUCGGGUUGUAAAGCCCUUUUGUUGGGAAAGAAAAGCAGCAGGUUAAUACCCCGCUGUUCUGACGGUACCCAAAGAAUAAGCACCGGCUAACUUCGUG
rnacentral:rRNA from 1 species